rnacentral:tRNA from 1 species
GAGAGUAUAGCUCAGUGGUAGAGUGCGUGCUCAAUAUGCAUGAGGUCCUGGGUUCAAUGCCAGUACCUCCA